CUUAACACAUGCAAGUCGAGCGGGCGAGGUUGCUUCGGUAACUGAGCUAGCGGCGGACGGGUGAGUAAUGCUUAGGAAUCUGCCUAUUAGUGGGGGACAACAUUCCGAAAGGAAUGCUAAUACCGCAUACGCCCUACGGGGGGAAGCAGGGGAUCUUCGGACCUUGCGCUAAUAGAUGAGCCUAAGUCAGAUUAGCUAGUUGGUAGGGUAAAGGCCUACCAAGGCGACGAUCUGUAGCGGGUCUGAGAGGAUGAUCCGCCACACUGGGACUGAGACACGGCCCAGACUCCUACGGGAGGCAGCAGUGGGGAAUAUUGGACAAUGGGCGCAAGCCUGAUCCAGCCAUGCCGCGUGUGUGAAGAAGGCCUUUUGGUUGUAAAGCACUUUAAGCGAGGAGGAGGCUACUUGGAUUAAUACUCUAGGAUAGUGGACGUUACUCGCAGAAUAAGCACCGGCUAACUCUGUGCCAGCAGCCGCGGUAAUACAGAGGGUGCGAGCGUUAAUCGGAUUUACUGGGCGUAAAGCGUGCGUAGGCGGCUUCUUAAGUCGGAUGUGAAAUCCCUGAGCUUAACUUAGGAAUUGCAUUCGAUACUGGGAAGCUAGAGUAUGGGAGAGGAUGGUAGAA
rnacentral:rRNA from 1 species